CACCAAGAACCCGAUCCACUGUCUCUUAGUAGGCUUGGGAUACGCCAGGCUGCAGAAAUAUUCCUGGCAGCUGAAGAGGAACUCCAGCGGGUAGCUGCUCAAUCCCGCUGUCUCUGGCGGCAGUUCAACGGCGUACCGUUGAGGGAACUGCACGGACAAGAAAUCUGAGCCUGUGCUGUCUCUGCCUUGCUGUGUGAGGUGGCAGAAUGUGGAGGAGGAGAGAUGGAGUUUGAUGUUGCACUUGGUCAAGAGAAGCUGACUGAAACAAGCCUACAGCUUACACACCUACUGCCAGCUGGGUAUAUACCGGUGCUGAUGGAGGACCGGCAGAGCGAGGCGGUGUACCUAGAGAUCAGUCCUCUUUUCCUCCAGGCCGAGAACAAACACAAACUCUUCCAGUUCGUCUCGCAGUUCCUCUAAGGCUGACGCAGGAGAAACACACGUCUACACCGCUCUGGGUUUAGUUACAAAAUAUCAGUGUUUCUGGUAAUUCGCUUGGAGCAAGAUGUGUUCUUGAACGUGGACCUUUAAAAACUGCAUUUGGUUUCUCUCUUUCUUAUGAAUGUAGUUAGGAAAUGUUUGUUGUGGUUUUCAGUUUUGCACUGAAGCUAUGAGCCUAAUGUGCUGUAGCUAACAAGUAAAGCUUAUAUCUAGCGGUUUAGCAUCAUGAAACCUAAAGCAUUAUGCCUUUACUACUAGCAGAUAAAAAUUCUUUAUUUGUACAGAUAGAUUUCUAAACCAGUGUGUGAUGAUUUAAGCGUUCACUUUCCACACUGUUGACAGUUUAGAGCCUUGUAGCUCUAGUGCAAACUGAAGACUGAGCUCUGAGCUACAUGUUGUGUGUUAAGUGUGUUAAUGUCAUUCGAUAUAAUGCUGAUGGUAGGCUUUGAGUGAGAAUAUUGGUAGGAUUUUGAGUUGAUCAGAGCUGUUAACCAAUAAGAGAGCAGGAUAUUGGUCAUUGUAUUCAGUUUAAUUAGUGAGUGUUUGACAAUGUUGGAUUGUUAGGAAGUUAACGAGUUCUUCUCUGGUUUCUGUUUGAUGAAAAUUGUUGCUUUAUAACGUUGCUUUGUUUGAUUUGGAGAGACGAAUACAGAUUUUGUUCUGCACCGUCGCUCA